rnacentral:rRNA from 1 species
UACGUAGGGACCAAGCGUUGUUCGGAUUUACUGGGCGUAAAGGGCGCGUAGGUGGCGCCGCAAGUCAACGGUGAAAGCUCGACGCUUAACGUCGAGUCGGCCGUCGAGACUGCGGGGCUCGAGCACUGUAGAGGCUCAUGGAAUUCCGGGUGUAGCGGUGGGAUGCGUAGAGAUCCGGAAGAACACCGGUGGCGAAGGCGGUGAGCUGGGCAGUUGCUGACACUGAGGCGCGACAGCGUGGGGAGCAAACAGG